UAUAAUGUUUAUCUUUACAAGUGUUUGUAUUUUGAAAAGUUUGAUGUUACAUUAUAUAUUAAUCACUAUUUUUAUGGUUGAUUUAGUUUUUUUUUAUUGACCAUCUCUUUCCAUUGAACUUGUUUUAUAAAGAGAAGAGAUUCUCAUCUUUAUUUUCCUUGCAAUUGAUUAAACUUUCUAAUACAAUGUUGAGAUGAGCAGAAUGAAAGUUUUAGUUUUUAAUUUCACUGGUGAAUUUUUUUUUAAUUUGGUUGUUU
rnacentral:lncRNA from 1 species